CCCACUGUGGACCCAAUCUCUGCUGGAAACGCCCUUACUGGCUCAGCUCCCACUGGAUGGACUGUGGGAUUACUACUUCUUCCUGUUGACUGUCCAGCCAAAGGAGUGGUGGCAUCUUCCUGGUUUUGCUCAUCUUGGGAGAGUGUUGCCUGGUCGUAUGUCUAACUUCAUAAGAAACUGCCAAAAUGUUUUCCAAAGGGGAGAGCCUAUCUGAGAACACAGCCAAUGGAGAAAUGCAACCAGAUAUUUAAAAGAAGAUUGAAUACUUACCAGAGCCAAGCUUGAAGCCAGUACCUUUGGGCUCUUCA